rnacentral:rRNA from 1 species
UGGCUCAGAACGAACGCUGGCGGCAGGCCUAACACAUGCAAGUCGAACGCUCGUAGCAAUACGAGAGUGGCAGACGGGUGAGUAACACGUGGGAACCUUCCCUAUGGUUCGGAAUAGCCCAGGGAAACUUGGGGUAAUACCGGAUAAGCCCUUACGGGGAAAGAUUUAUCGCCAUUGGAUGGGCCCGCGUCGGAUUAGCUAGUUGGUGGGGUAACGGCUCACCAAGGCGACGAUCCGUAGCUGGUCUGAGAGGAUGAUCAGCCACACUGGGACUGAGACACGGCCCAGAAUCCU